UCACCAAUAAAUCGCACCGGAGAGCAGAAGUGGAAAAAGAAGGGGAAGGAGGAAAUCCAUCGCUCGCUCAAGCUCUCGACAAUGGCGUCCCAAGCUGCUAGGGUUUCGUUCCGCGUAGUGGUGGCGCUCCUCGUGGUCCUCGUCCUCUUCUACGUCGGCCGCCCCCUCUACUGGAAGAUCUCCGCCACCGUCCACGACAUCCGCCACAACAAACAGACCGUCAAGCAAGGCCUGUCGCAGAUCGUUUACGAGGCGCAGAAAUCCGUCGGCUGGUUCCACGACGAGUCGGACUCUGGCGUCAUUGAAGACCGUAAAACUCGUGGUGCGGCCGCGGCGGCUCGGAGGCUCCUCCGCGAUGGUUAAUCCUUGUGGAAAAGUGCAUCGAUGAUGGUUGGUAUCUCGGCGUAUGCUGCGAAUAGCUGUAGAGUUAGAUGAUGAUCCGAGAAUUUCCUUUGGCUACAGAAGGAAUCAGAAAGGGAACGAGCUGAAAUCACUAUGUUAUUUGUGGAGGGGAUCAAUCGAUGUUCAGCGGAUAGCAUUUUGAUGAUGGGACCAUACCGUGGUCCGCGAUUGUUGCUCAUUCGAGAAAAGAACACCGGUUUUCUGCAAUGGUAGGGUUUGCAAUAUGAAACUCAGGUUCCACCUUGGAAUCGCAGUCGUGAGUUCCAAAUAAAGAUUCGACUCUCUUUAUCGACAGAGUAGUUGGAUUUUGGCAUGAUUGAUUAGCCAAGAGAUGUCCGGUACAGUUUUUGCCAUGUUCAUAGUGAAUGUGAUGUGAAAUCUCUAAUCAAA